UAUCUCUGUAGAGUCUGCAUAUCAAUAAGCGGAGGAAAAGAAACUAACUAGGAUUCCCUCAGUAACGGCGAGUGAAGCGGGAAGAGCUCAAAUUUGAAAUCUUCAAGGUUCUACCUUGACGAAUUGUAGUUUAAAGAAGUGUUUUCUGUUGGAGUUUUGGUAAAAGUUCUUUGGAAUAGGACAUCAUAGAGGGUGAGAAUCCCGUAUUUGACCAUUAUUUCAGCUGUGUGAUACACUUUCAAAGAGUCGGAUUAGUUUGGGAAUGCAGUCCAAAAUGGGUGGUAAAUUUCCAUCUAAAGCUAAAUACUGGCGAGAGACCGAUAGCGAACAAGUACCGUGAGGGAAAGAUGAAAAGAACUUUGAAAAGAGAGUUAAACAGUACGUGAAAUUGUCAAAAGGGAAGCGUUUGACACCAGUGUUGUUUUCUCGAAAAUCAAUUAAAAAAGGCAGGAUUUUGUGUUGUAUUGACUUUAUCAGCUUUCUGCACUCUUUUCUUGUCUUUUUUAAUGCACUUUUCCGUUUAACAAGUCAACAUCCAAUUUCUUUUGUUGUAAAAGGGUCAUUGGAAGGUGGCUUUCUUUUCGGAGAAAGUGUUUAUAGCCUUUGGCCUCUGCAAUCGGAGAGAUUGAGGUCUGCAGCGUAGAUCCUUCGGGGUUAGAUACAUUUGUGCUAGGUUAUAGCCUUUCAUAGACAACUUGUUGACUAUGAUCAGUCAUGUAGCUUACUCGCUUAUGCUAUUUUACCUACGCUUAGGAUGUUGACGAUCAGCUGAGCGCG
rnacentral:rRNA from 1 species